AUCACUUUCGAUGUAGGAUAGACCCCGACCAUGUUUAACGCGUAACGGGGACUAGGGUUCGAUUCCGGAGAGGGAGCCUGAGAAACGGCUACCACAUCCAAGGAAGGCAGCAGGCGCGCAAAUUACCCAAUCCCAAUACGGGGAGGUAGUGACAAUAAAUAACAAUAUGGGGCCCUUACGGGUCUCGUAAUUGGAAUGAGUACAAUUUAAAUCUCUUAACGAGGAACAAUUGGAGGGCAAGUCUGGUGCCAGCAGCCGCGGUAAUUCCAGCUCCAAUAGCGUAUAUUAAAGUUGUUGCAGUUAAAAAGCUCGUAGUUGAAUUUCGGAAUCCGUCCGUCGGUCGGGCUUCACUGUCCGUACUGGUGUGAUGGGUUCUUACCUUCUGAAUAACCAACAUGCCAUUUAUUUGGUGCGGUGGGGAAGCAGGACUAUUACCUUGAAAAAAUUAGAGUGCUCAAAGCAGGCUAGUGCCUGAAUAUAUUAGCAUGGAAUAAUAAAAUAAGACGGCAUGGGUCUAUUUUGUUGGUUUCUAGGAUCACCGAAAUGAUUAAUAAGGAUAGUUGGGGGCAUUACUAUUCAAUUGGCAGAAGUGAAAUUCUUGGAUUUAUUGAAGACUAAAUUCUGCGAAAGCAUCUUGCCAGAGGAUGAUUUCAUUUAAAAAAGAACGAAAGGUUAGGGGAUCGAAGACGAUCAGAUACCGGCCGUAGUCCUAACCAUAAAUAUCCGAUAGGGAUUGGACGAUGUUAAUUUUUAAGACUCGUCGCCCCGG
rnacentral:rRNA from 1 species